rnacentral:rRNA from 1 species
AUUACCGAGUUUACAACUCCCAAACCCAAUGUGAACGUUACCAAACUGUUGCCUCGGCGGGAUCUCUGCCCCGGGUGCGUCGCAGCCCCGGACCAAGGCGCCCGCCGGAGGACCAACCAAAAACUCUUUUGUAUACCCCCUCGCGGGUUUUUUAUAUCUGAGCCAUCUCGGCGCCUCUCGUAGGCGUUUCGAAAAUGAAUCAAAACUUUCAACAACGGAUCUCUUGGUUCUGGCAUCGAUGAAGAACGCAGCGAAAUGCGAUAAGUAAUGUGAAUUGCAGAAUUCAGUGAAUCAUCGAAUCUUUGAACGCACAUUGCGCCCGCCAGUAUUCUGGCGGGCAUGCCUGUCCGAGCGUCAUUUCAACCCUCGAACCCCUCCGGGGGGUCGGCGUUGGGGAUCGGCCCUUUACGGGGCCGGCCCCGAAAUACAGUGGCGGUCUCGCCGCAGCCUCUCCUGCGCAGUAGUUUGCACACUCGCAUCGGGAGCGCGGCGCGUCCAUUGCCGUAAAACACCCAACUUUCUGAAAUGUUGACCUCGGAUCAGGUAGGAAUACCCGCUGAACUUAAGCAUAUCAAUAAGCGGAGGAAAAGAAACCAACAGGGAUUGCCCCAGUAACGGCGAGUGAAGCGGCAACAGCUCAAAUUUGAAAUCUGGCCCCUCGGGGUCCGAGUUGUAAUUUGUAGAGGAUGCUUUUGGUGAGGUGCCGCCCGAGUUCCCUGGAACGGGACGCCACAGAGGGUGAGAGCCCCGUCUGGCUGGCCACCGAGCCUCUGUAAAGCUCCUUCGACGAGUCGAGUAGUUUGGGAAUGCUGCUCAAAAUGGGAGGUAUAUGUCUUCUAAAGCUAAAUAUUGGCCAGAGACCGAUAGCGCACAAGUAGAGUGAUCGAAAGAUGAAAAGCACCUUGAAAAGAGGGUUAAAUAGUACGUGAAAUUGUUGAAAGGGAAGCGCUUGUGACCAGACUUGGGCGCGGCGGAUCAUCCGGGGUUCUCUCCGGUGCACUUCGCCGCGUCUAGGCCAGCAUCAGUUCGUCGCGGGGGAAAAAGGUUUCGGGAACGUGGCUCCUCCGGGAGUGUUAUAGCCCGUUGCAUAAUACCCUGCGG